CUUCAGGAUGGGUUGCAUGUAGGGGCAGCGAGUUAUAUCUCCACAUGGUGCCUUAGCACCAGCAAUAUUCAGAGCCCAGGGGCCCAGCUCCACCAAUAUUAGGGGCCGGGUGUCCCCACCGACCCCACCUGCUGCCCCCCCCAAGUAUCCCCCAGCCCCCUCUUGCUGCCCCCAGCCCCCCCACGCGCCUCCCCGGACCAGAGCCGAGCGUCCCUGCCUUUGCCUCUUCCGGGCAGCUCCAUGCUGCCUCCCUGCAGCAACUGCUGCCACAGGGUCCUAGUGCCCCACAUCUCCACUGCCAGGGCACACCAACUCUGAGCCUGCCGUUCCACCUCAGACCCUUCCCUUUUCUGGCGGGACUCUCCACCAGCACAGGGGGCCCCUCUUCCCACAGUCACCGCUCCUGCCCCAUGCUGGGCAAGGAGGCAGCCCCAUCCCUCACCCCCAGUGAGGCUACAGUCAGGGGCAACAGCCGGGCAGAAGGCGCAUGCAGCAUCCCCCGGCACCCACCACGGGGGAGGCGAGGGAGAUUCCUGGACCUGAGAGGGGCCCUAGGAGCACAUGUAGUGACAGUGGUGGGAGUGAGUGUGCUGCUGGAGGGGCGGGAAAGGG